UAACUAGAUAUGGUGGUGAGUGAGAACUAUGUGCUAAGUAAAAAGUUGUGAUGAGUGAGCAUGUGAACUUAAUCAACACUGACCAGCAAAUGUGCCUGACCUCGCGCCGUGUCGCUGAAGUAAGUUGUUACCCAAAAAUUUUUUCCAAGGUUGGCAGGUCUGUGAAUAUAGUACUUCGAAGUCUUUCAAGCAAAUAAUGAUAAAAACAAUAGUCCAAGUUAGCCUUCUUCCUCUAGGGUUAGCUUUUUGAUUCCCUCCUCCACCACAUGUGUGGAGUGCGCAUGGUGUCCCUGUGUCUCAUGGAUUUCCUCUAGGUACUCUGGUUUCCUCCCACAGUCCAAAGACACGUUGUAGGUUGAUUAGCAUCUCGAAAUUGUCAGUAGUGUGUGAAUGGGUGUGUAUCCGAUUGUGCACUGCAAUAGACUGCCCAGGGUGUCAUCUGCCUUGUUCCCAGAGUCUCCUGGGUAAGACUUUAGGUUCCCCUAAGACACAGAAGGAUAAGCUGUGUAGAGAAUAAAUGGAUAGAUGAAUAAUGAUAUUUAAAUUUUGCAAAGACUUGCGAAGAAAAUCCUAUGGAUUUUCAAAGAUAUCCCCUGGAUCUGAAGAGACGCUCUGCAGGUGCUGGUGAUUGUCUUUACCGCCACUUUCGGAGAGACCGCGCUCCUCCCGAGGAUACAGCCAGCUCACGGUAGGAUGAUUUGAUUUUAAUCUCAUAUUGUUUUUACAGUAAAUUAUGUUUAAGUUACACUUUGUUACAAUCUACAGUAACAUUAUCUAGCUAUUAAGCGGUAUCCUCUUUUGGCACGAAUUAGCCUAAUGCUAGUUACCAUGCUAGCGAACUUAGCCACAGGUAUAAACUACACACCAAAAUGCAUAACCGAAUCGAUUACCUUGACUUUUGAAUUUAUUUCAUUCCCACAAUGACAUAUUUACCCUCAUAUUAGGUCACUUUCACAAUAUUGGCUAUUGGUUUUACACUAAAUCGUGCUUAGCGUAGCGAUUAAACCAGCUCUUGUGCUACUGACUUUUCUGUUUCAAAUGUGUUACAGUAUCUAUCUAAAGAAUAUAGUUAAUUAUUUCAUUAACACAAUAUCAUAGCGAGUAUAAAGACAGUUAGCUUGCUGAACUCGGUUAAGCGUUUUAAUAAUUAUACAUGGACAGAAAUUUGGUAAAAUGGUAAAAAGAUGGAAAAAUAUUCUCUUUUAUUAUUAAUGUUGGCUCAUGAAUUAUACAAUGUAACCCUUAGCUGAAUGCUUUUGUUUUGGUAACUAAACCUAUCAUUUAUUUACUUACUGGAUUUUCUAUCUGACAGAAUUUUAGUUGUGUUAGUAUGACACUGAUAAGAAAGCUAUGAUAAGAAGCACUUAUGUUUGCUUCCCAGUGCUGGUAAGCUGAACAGAGCCUCACAUGAUGUUCAGCUUCUGUCUCCAGACAUCUUCAGCUCCCAGUCAGAGGUCGUUGAGCCGUAGCAUCCACCGCAUCUUAAACCGAAUCUUCAGCUGACGUUCUGCCUCUCACUGCUGGAAAGCUGGACUCCGCCUGAAAACUACUCAGUUCCUCUCUGGUGAAUUCUUCAGCUCCCAGUCUGGGGUAUUCUACUGAGAGGCAGCUUAGAUACAAACACUCAAACACCCUUUUUUACAAGUUGUAAUGUUUAGAUUUUUUUUUCUAUUUCUAGUCAGUGGACAUUCUGAGGUACUUCAUCAGGAUUAUAAGGGGUCCAGAGAGUAAAGCCUGGUGGUUCAGUACCAACAAGGCCUGAAGACUUGAACCACUUGGUAAUUACAGGCUUCAUUACUCUGACAUUAAAUACCCAUUAAAUACACAUUAAUGAUUAUUAGAUGAGCACUUUUCUAUUAUAGAUCUUGAGUUUUGGCUGAUUUUGGUGCACAUUUGCAGGGAUUCCUUUAUGAUAACAAAAUUAAGGACAGUUUCACUGCCAGUUUGCCUCUCGGUAUUAGACAGGUUCAAACACUUGAGGUCUUUAAAUCUGGCCUAAAAACUUAUUUGUACAGUCUGGCGUAUGAUGCCAUGUGAGAGCUGCUUUCUUUUAUUGUUUUAUUGUGUCUUAAGUAUUUUUCUUUUAUUUGUGUGUUUGUAUGAAUAAACCAC